GGAAUCCGAAUACUCACAAGAAGGACAAAACCAGUAUGAAAAUUAACACAAAGAAAUUGUGCCAGAAAUAUUUGAAGUAUCUAUGGGAAUGAUCUGACAACAUCGAACUUGCUGAGCCUUCCUUCUUAAAGUGACAUGACCAGAUAUUUGGCUACCCAGUUUGAGAUACGAACUAAUCAUUUGUUGUACGACUUGUUGUGUAUGAGAUUGCCACAUUUACUGGAACUUUAAACCCCUGCUAUCUACAAUUAUGUUUCUGCUAAAUGAAAUAAAAUAUUGUGGAGGAACACGGAGAAAAGGGCACCUCAACAUGUUCAAGGUCAAGCAGCUUUUUACCAUAUCCAUAGUAUCUUGCUGCUAAAUGAAAGAAUUAUUGUGGAGGAACAGAGAAAAGGGCACCUCAACAUGUUCAAGGUCAAGCAGGAGCUACAUGUGCUUCUCCAGAGCUGAAUAUUUCUUGGGAUGAAGAGAAGAAAAAGCAAAAGGAAGCAGUUUUAAAUAUUGAUUAUGUCUUUAUAGUACAAAAAAUGAUUCGAAAGAUGAUACUAUCUAUGAAAUUAGAAAACUGAAGUGCCGUUCUGAUGAAUGUGAAAAAGUCCUUAAAGAACAGGACACCAAAAGUGCCACUCUCAAAUCAAAACACUCUAAAAGGCAGAGCUUAAGAAGAACUAGGACAAAUAAAGAAUCUAAAAGAGUCAAACCUAAUGAUGUAGCGAUUGAAUAGAAAUGGGCUAUUAGAGACCAAAUAUCUAAGUUAUUACUGUUUUGCACAAAUGUGAUGUUUUUUUUACUUAACUUUAAUUGACACAUUCAAUGUUAGAUAAGAAAAAUAUACCUUAGUAGUGUUGUAUUUUUGACAGUUAAAGUUUUUUCUGAUACUUCAUUACAGAUUAAAACUGUUAUAUUUUUUAUUGUUUAAACAUUGAUUGGUUUAUCGUGUGGUAUGCAAUCACAUACAUUUUAAUCUUGAUUUAUGAAAUACAUAUAUAUACAAGUUUGACUUAAAUAAUAAGUGCAUGGACAUUUAUUGUGGAAAAAAAAUAUGACAAUCAAGGGUAGUCUUAAAGAGCUUUGCUGGCAGUAAGUGGCAGAUCUUGAUACCCAAGUAAGAGAAAGGUGGUGUCUCUGACCGAUCCUUUUGCUCUUGCUUGUGGGCAAGUGAGGCUUCUUUGUCAGUGGCUUAGUGUGUCAUAGACGUAAAAAGUAGACUAAGCAGAUGAGGUAGAGACAUUUCUGAGUAAAAAAGGGUGAAUUGUGAAUUUAACAAAUAUCAUAUUGCAAGAGUAAUGAGAAUUGAAAGAGUAAAAUAUUAAUUUGUUUCCUUCCAUAUGAAGUAAAAGAGUUUAUGACUAGAAUUUUGUGCAUUAAGAUUAAAUUGUAAUUAAGGCUAAACAAAAAUUGUUAAAUAUACUUGUACAUCUGUUUAUACAGGAAAUUUUAUAUGUACAUGUUUCCGAGCUCAUUCUUGAAAUUUUGAAGCAAAGUGUAGAAGAUUGAUGACUGAAAAAAAUAUCACUAUCAAAAUUUCUUGCAUUCCAAUGUAAAAUGAGGAUAUGUUAAAAGUUAUAAUCAUCAAGCAAUAAACCUAGAAGUUGGAACAAAUAUGGGGUAUUAGAGACAAAUUAUCAGCUGUUACUAUUUUGUGUAAUUGUGAUGAUGUUUCUUUAAUUUGAAUUGACAUAACCAAAUGAUAUAAAAGAUUUUUUUUGGUGUUGUAUUUUACACAGUCAACAUAAAGUAUCUACUGUACUGGGUUAAAGAUUUAAAAGCUAUCAUAUUUUUAUUGAUACCAUAUCGACUGGCUUAUUGUGUCGCACACAUGUACAUACCUUUUUAAUCUCUGAUUUAUUGCCAUGUUUUUUCAAGUUGAUAAUUAGUGCAUGGACAUCUAUUGUGGAAAUACUUGGGAAACAAUAUACGGGUGGUCUGAAAGAGCUUUGCUGGCAGUAAGUUGCAGAUCUUGAUACCCAAGUAAGAGAAGGGUGGUGUCUAUGACCGAUCCUUUUGCUCUUGCUUGUGGGCGAGUGAGGCUUCUCUGUCAGUGGCUUAGUGUGUCUUAAUAGAUGUACAUGUAAAAAGAAUAGGCAUUUUUUAUUGCCAACAUUUAUUCUUCUGUGCAAAGUAUGAUAUGAUUUUUUUUGGGAAAUUGAAGAUAUGAUUUUUUGGGGGGAAAUUGAAAAACCAUUUACAACCCAUGCAGCAAUUUCAAUAGGGGUAGUUUCAGUCACAGGUUUUGCAGUCUUUUGGAGUCAAGAAUGACUGCAUUUUUUUUUACCUGUUGUGUUCUGAUUUAUUGCAGAUUUAAAUUUUACAUGCAAUUCUAUUUUUAUAAUUAUUUUGUUAUUGAUUUGUUUGGACAUGAUGACCCAUUGUUGUCAGGGU